GCAAACUUGGUCAUUUAGAGGAAGUAAAAGUCGUAACAAGGUUUCCGUAGGUGAACCUGCGGAAGGAUCAUUAUCGAUUCACUGGCUUGUGGGAUGUGCUGGCCUUGGCAACGUGCACUCCUCCUGCCUUUUACCUCAUUGACCCUGUGCACCUUUUGUAGGUGGGGAGUUUAUUUCCACCUAUGUUUUUUUUUCAUUGUACACCCGGUGUUUAUGAUGUGACUUUGUAAAAUGACCCAUGACAACUUUCAACAAUGGAUCUCUUGGCUCUCGCAUCGAUGAAGAACGCAGC
rnacentral:misc_RNA from 1 species